GAUGAACACUAGCGGGAGGCCUAACACAUGCAAGCCGAGCGGUAUUUGUUCUUCGGAACAGAGAGAGCGGCGUACGGGUGCGGAACACGUGUGCAACCUACCUUUAUCAGGGGGAUAGCCUUUCGAAAGGAAGAUUAAUACCCCAUAAUAUAUUGACUGGCAUCAGUUAGUAUUGAAAACUCCGGUGGAUAGAGAUGGGCACGCGCAAGAUUAGAUAGUUGGUAGGGUAACGGCCUACCAAGUCAGUGAUCUUUAGGGGGCCUGAGAGGGUGAUCCCCCACACUGGUACUGAGACACGGACCAGACUCCUACGGGAGGCAGCAGUGAGGAAUAUUGGACAAUGGGUGAAAGCCUGAUCCAGCCAUCCCGCGUGAAGGACGACGGUUCUAUGGAUUGUAAACUUCUUUUAUAUAGGGAUAAACCUCUUUACGUGUAAAGAGCUGAAGGUACUAUAUGAAUAAGCACCGGCUAACUCCGUGCCAGCAGCCGCGGUAAUACGGAGGGUGCAAGCGUUAUCCGGAUUUAUUGGGUUUAAAGGGUCCGUAGGCGGAUCUGUAAGUCAGUGGUGAAAUCUCAUAGCUUAACUAUGAAACUGCCAUUGAUACUGCAGGUCUUGAGUAAAGUAGAAGUGGCUGGAAUAAGUAGUGUAGCGGUGAAAUGCAUAGAUAUUACUUAGAACACCAAUUGCGAAGGCAGGUCACUAUGUUUUAACUGACGCUGAUGGACGAAAGCGUGGGGAGCGAACAGGAUUAGAUACCCUGGUAGUCCACGCCGUAAACGAUGCUAACUCGUUUUUGGGACUUCGGUUUCAGAGACUAAGCGAAAGUGAUAAGUUAGCCACCUGGGGAGUACGUUCGCAAGAAUGAAACUCAAAGGAAUUGACGGGGGCCCGCACAAGCGGUGGAUUAUGUGGUUUAAUUCGAUGAUACGCGAGGAACCUUACCAAGGCUUAAAUGGGAAUUGACAGGUUUAGAAAUAGACUUUUCUUCGGACAAUUUUCAAGGUGCUGCAUGGUUGUCGUCAGCUCGUGCCGUGAGGUGUUAGGUUAAGUCCUGCAACGAGCGCAGCCCCUGUCACUAGUUGCCAUCAUUCAGUUGGGGACUCUAGUGAGACUGCCUACGCAAGUAGAGAGGAAGGUGGGGAUGACGUCAAAUCAUCACGGCCCUUACGCCUUGGGCCACACACGUAAUACAAUGGCCAGUACAGAGGGCAGCUACCUAGCGAUAGGAUGCGAAUCUCGAAAGCUGGUCUCAGUUCGGAUUGGAGUCUGCAACUCGACUCUAUGAAGCUGGAAUCGCUAGUAAUCGCGCAUCAGCCAUGGCGCGGUGAAUACGUUCCCGGGCCU
rnacentral:rRNA from 1 species